UUGCGUUAAGGAUAGUAGUGGCAUCCUUUUUAGUAAUGCAAACUAAGGGGUUGUUAGUAGAAAUGUGGUUGGUUUUUAACUUGUUGUAUAUUUGUAUUACAAGUAUUCUAAAAAGAUAUAACGGAUAGCCUGACCUUUG
rnacentral:sRNA from 1 species